rnacentral:rRNA from 1 species
AGAGUUGAUCCUGGCUCAGGACGAACGCUGGCGGCGUGCUUAACACAUGCAAGUUGCGCGACGGUGCAUGAAGUAGCAAUACGGAGUGUAUACGGAGCAGCGGACGGGUGAGUACAACAUGAGAAUCUGUCCUUCAGAGGGGGACAACGUUUGGAAACGGACGCUAAUACCCCAUAGGCCUACGGGUUAAAGCAGCAAUGCGCUGGAGGAGGAGCUCGUGUCCUAUCAGCUUGAUGGUGAGGUAACGGCUCACCAUGGCGAUGACGGGUAGCCGGCCUGAGAGGGUGUCCGGCCACACUGGAACUGAGAUACGGUCCAGACUCCUACGGGAGGCAGCAGUGGGGAAUAUUGGGCAAUGGGAGAAAUCCUGACCCAGCAACGCCGCGUGAACGAAGAAGGCCCUUGGGUCGUAAAGUUCUUUUAUACGGGAAGAAGGAAGUGACGGUACCGUAUGAAUAAGCCCCGGCUAACUACGUGCCAGCAGCCGCGGUAAUACGUAGGGGCGAGCGUUGUCCCGGAAUUACUGGGCGUAAGGGCACGCAGGCUUGUGCUGUAAGUCAGCUGUUAAAGGAUGCGGGUUAACCGUGUUUGCACGUUGAAACUGCGUGCUGGAGUACCGAAGGCAGUGGAUUCCCCCGUGUACGGUGAAAUGCGUUAUUUUUGGGAGAACCCCGUGGGG